rnacentral:rRNA from 1 species
UACGAAGGGGGCUAGCGUUGCUCGGAAUCACUGGGCGUAAAGGGUGCGUAGGCGGGUUUUUAAGUCAGGGGUGAAAUCCUGGAGCUCAACUCCAGAACUGCCUUUGAUACUGAAGAUCUUGAGUGCGGGAGAGGUGAGUGGAACUGCGAGUGUAGAGGUGAAAUUCGUAGAUAUUCGCAAGAACACCAGUGGCGAAGGCGGCUCACUGGCCCGAUACUGACGCUGAGGCACGAAAGCGUGGGGAGCAAACAGG